rnacentral:rRNA from 1 species
AGAGUUUGAUCCUGGCUCAGGACGAACGCUGGCGGCGUGCCUAAUACAUGCAAGUAGAACGCUGAAGAGAGGAGCUUGCUCUUCUUGGAUGAGUUGCGAACGGGUGAGUAACGCGUAGGUAACCUGCCUUGUAGCGGGGGAUAACUAUUGGAAACGAUAGCUAAUACCGCAUAACAAUGGAUGACACAUGUCAUUUAUUUGAAAGGGGCAAUUGUUCCACUACAAGAUGGACCUGCGUUGUAUUAGCUAGUAGGUGAGGUAAUGGCUCACCUAGGCGACGAUACAUAGCCGACCUGAGAGGGUGAUCGGCCACACUGGGACUGAGACACGGCCCAGACUCCUACGGGAGGCAGCAGUAGGGAAUCUUCGGCAAUGGGGGCAACCCUGACCGAGCAACGCCGCGUGAGUGAAGAAGGUUUUCGGAUCGUAAAGCUCUGUUGUAAGUCAAGAACGGGUGUGAGAGUGGAAAGUUCACACUGUGACGGUAGCUUACCAGAAAGGGACGGCUAACUACGUGCCAGCAGCCGCGGUAAUACGUAGGUCCCGAGCGUUGUCCGGAUUUAUUGGGCGUAAAGCGAGCGCAGGCGGUUUGAUAAGUCUGAAGUUAAAGGCUGUGGCUCAACCAUAGUUCGCUUUGGAAACUGUCAAACUUGAGUGCAGAAGGGGAGAGUGGAAUUCCAUGUGUAGCGGUGAAAUGCGUAGAUAUAUGGAGGAACACCGGUGGCGAAAGCGGCUCUCUGGUCUGUAACGGACGCUGAGGCUCGAAAGCGUGGGGAGCGAACAGGAUUAGAUACCCUGGUAGUCCACGCCGUAAACGAUGAGUGCUAGGUGUUGGAUCCUUUCCGGGAUUCAGUGCCGCAGCUAACGCAUUAAGCACUCCGCCUGGGGAGUACGACCGCAAGGUUGAAACUCAAAGGAAUUGACGGGGGCCCGCACAAGCGGUGGAGCAUGUGGUUUAAUUCGAAGCAACGCGAAGAACCUUACCAGGUCUUGACAUCCCGAUGCUAUUUCUAGAGAUAGAAAGUUACUUCGGUACAUCGGUGACAGGUGGUGCAUGGUUGUCGUCAGCUCGUGUCGUGAGAUGUUGGGUUAAGUCCCGCAACGAGCGCAACCCCUAUUGUUAGUUGCCAUCAUUCAGUUGGGCACUCUAGCGAGACUGCCGGUAAUAAACCGGAGGAAGGUGGGGACGACGUCAAAUCAUCAUGCCCCUUAUGACCUGGGCUACACACGUGCUACAAUGGUUGGUACAACGAGUUGCGAGUCGGUGACGGCGAGCUAAUCUCUUAAAGCCAAUCUCAGUUCGGAUUGUAGGCUGCAACUCGCCUACAUGAAGUCGGAAUCGCUAGUAAUCGCGGAUCAGCACGCCGCGGUGAAUACGUUCCCGGGCCUUGUACACACCGCCCGUCACACCACGAGAGUUUGUAACACCCGAAGUCGGUGAGGUAACCUUUUGGAGCCAGCCGCCUAAGGUGGGACAGAUGAUUGGGGUGAAGUCGUAACAAGGUA